CUACGGAGGGUGCAAGCGUUGUUCGGAAUCACUGGGCGUAAAGGGCGCGCAGGCGGUUUGGUAAGUCAGAUGUGAAAGCCCAUGGCUCAACCAUGGAAGUGCAUUUGAAACUGUCAGACUUGAGUACUAGAGGGGAAAGUGGAAUUCCCGGUGUAGAGGUGAAAUUCGUAGAUAUCGGGAGGAAUACCGGUGGCGAAGGCGACUUUCUGGCUAGAUACUGACGCUGAGGCGCGAAAGCGUGGGGAGCAAACAGGAUUAGAAACCCUAGUAGUCC
rnacentral:rRNA from 1 species